GGGAAGUAAAAGUCCGUAAACAAGGUUUUCCGUAGGUGAACCUGCGGAAGGAUCAUUAAAAAUGAGACCUCGAUUUGAAGGUCUAUUAAUAAUCCUACCUUUGUGAAUUUGUUUGUUUUAAUUAUGUGUCUUUCCCUGUUUGGUUUGAAGCUUUGUUUUAAAAGUUUCGAACCUUCCAGGGGAAUGGCAAACUUUUUUUUAAAUUAAACUUUUUGUAUUCAUUUGUCUAAAAUUUUUUUAUAAUAUAAAAAAACAACUUUUUGGACAAUGGAUUCUCUUGGUUCUCGCAACGAUGAAGAACGCAGCAAAAUGCGAUAAGUAGUGUGAAUUGCAGAAUACGUGAAUCAUCGAAUCUUCGAACGCAUAUUGCCACUUUUUUGGUUUACCAAAAAAGUAUGUCUUGUUUGAGUAUCAGUAAAAAUAUUCUCAUAAAAACUAUUUGUUUUUUAUGGUUAUGAGUGUUUUACAACGAUAAACAAGUUGUUUCACUUUUAAAAUUCUUUGUCUUUAAAAAAUCAUUAAAAACUGAUUUUUUUUUAAAAAUUGGAUAAAUUUUCCCGUAAAAAAGGAAUAACCUAAACAAUUUAAUUAAAAAUUGGUUUGAUUUCCUUUUUAAGACUUUAAAGGAAAAAAAAAGUAAAAAUUAAACUUGAUCUCAAAUCAGAUAAGAGUACCCGCUUGAACUUAGGAGCAUUAUCAAUAAGCGGAGGAAAAGAAAAACUAACUAGGAUUCCCUCAGUACGGCGAGUGAAGCGGGAAGAGCUCAAAUUGAAAAUCUUCAAGGUUCUACCUUGACGAAUUGUAGUUUAAAAGAAGUGUUUUCUGUUGGAGUUUUUGGUAAAAGUUCUUUGGAAUAGGAACAUCAUAGAGGGUGAGAAUCCCGUAUUUUGACCAUUAUUUCCAACUUUGUGAUACACUUUUCAAAGAAGUCGGAUUGUUUGGGAAUGCCAGUCCAAAAUGGGUGGUAAAUUUCAUCUAAAGCUUAAAUACUGGCGAAGAGACCGAUAGCGAACAAGUACCGUGAGGGAAAGAUGAAAAGAAACUUUGAAAAGAGAGUUAAAACAGUACGUGAAAUUGUCAAAAGGGAAAGCGUUUGACACCAGUGUUGUUUUCUCGAAAAUCAAUUAAAAAUGGCGGGAUUUUGUGUUGUAAUUGACUUUAUCAGCUUUCUGCAACUUUUUCCUGUCUUUUUUAAUGCACUUUUUCGUUUAACAAGUCAACAUCAAUUUCUUUUUGUUGUAAAAGGGUCUUGGAAGGUUGGGUUUUCUUUUUCGGAGAAAGUGUUUUAUAGCCUUUGGCCUCUGCAAUCGGAGAGAUUGAGGUUCUGCACGUAGAUCCUUUCGGGGUUUAGAUCAUUUU
rnacentral:misc_RNA from 1 species